GGUCCCAUGGGAUAAUUGUAGUCCCAUGGGAUAAAAAAAUCCCAUGGGACUUUAAUUAUCCCAUGGGAUU
rnacentral:sRNA from 1 species